GCCUUCUUAGCUCAGUGGUAGACUGCGUGGUUUUUAACUAUGUGGUCAUGGGUUUGAUCCCCACAGACAGUG
rnacentral:tRNA from 1 species